rnacentral:rRNA from 1 species
UGGCGGCGCGCCUAACACAUGCAAGUCGAACGAGAAAGCGGGGGCAACCUCGUGAGUAAAGUGGCGUACGGGUGAGUAACACGUGGAUCAUCUACCUCUUUGUGGGGGAUAACUCUGGGAAACCGGAGAUAAUACCGCAUAAUCUCGAGAGAGGAAAGCAGCAAUGCGCAGAGAGAGGAGUCCGCGGCCGAUUAGCUAGUUGGUAGGGUAAUGGCCUACCAAGGCUACGAUCGGUAGCCGGCCUGAGAGGGCACACGGCCACACUGGCACUGAAACACGGGCCAGACUCCUACGGGAGGCAGCAGUGGGGAAUCUUGCACAAUGGGGGCAACCCUGAUGCAGCGACGCCGCGUGAGCGAUGAAGCCCUUCGGGGUGUAAAGCUCUUUCGGCAGGGAAGAUUAUGACGGUACCUGCAGAAGCAGCUGCGGCUAACUACGUGCCAGCAGCCGCGGUAAUACGUAGGCAGCAAGCGUUGUUCGGAGUUACUGGGCGUAAAGGGUGUGUAGGCGGUCCUCUAAGUUUGGUGUGAAAUCUCCCGGCUCAACUGGGAGGGUGCGCCGAAAACU